UUAAUUGGAAUUUCAAAUUUCCCCCUAUUCAGGAAAUUGGCAUUCUUGGCGCCAAUCACAGUUCGAACUUCGAAUUGGGCAAUUUCUCGGUUGGUGCACAGAGUAUUGUCUCUUCUGCGGGGGAAGAAUGAAGAAAGACUACCUGGAAUUGCAGUUAGAAAACCCAAUUGGCGAUGCUAUCUCCAGGAUUCAGUUCGCCCCUAACUGUAGCAAUCUACUCAUAUCUUCAUGGGACUCCAGCCUUCGCUUAUACGACGUGGACAAUUCUGUGCUUAGAUUAGAAGCCCCUUCAGAAGCGGCGCUUCUGGAUUGUUGUUUCCAGGACGACUUGGUUGCUUUCGCCGCUGGUUCUGAUGGAUUAAUUCGAAGGUAUAACUUGCAUUUGGGAAUUAUUGAUAGAAUGGGCAAUCAUGACGAUGUAGCAACAUGCGUUGGAUAUGCCAAUGAAAUAUGUCAGUUGAUCACUGCCGGAUUUGAUAAGUUAUUGUUGUGGGAUAUUCGUAUGGAGAAGGCUCCUUCAUGCUCAAAAAUUCUAGGCGCAGAGGUGAACUCCAUGUCUGUCUCUAGGUUGAAUCUGACGGUUGGAAUAGGAACAUCAGUGCAUAUCUAUGAUCUUCGUUAUUUUGACAAACCAGUUGCAUCAAGUGAACCACACAAAGGCACACAGAUUAGAUGUGUUAGUUCAAUUCCAUACACAAGAGGAUUUGCAGUUGGGUCGGUAGAUGGGAGGGUAGCAUUGCAGAUUUCUGAUUCUUCUAGUUCAAAUGACAUUGAAUUUAUAUUCCGGUGUAAUCCUAAAUCGAUGGAUGGAAGACAUCAUUUGGCAUCAGUUAAUGACAUUAUAUUCAGUCCACUUGUUCAAGGUGCUUUUGCCACUGGUGACAAUGAAGGUUAUGUGAUUUUAUGGGAUGCUAGUAGUAGAAAAAGACUCAUUGAGUUACCUAAAUACCCGAAUAGUGUGGCAUCCUUGUCAUACAACCACGUGGGACAGCUUUUGGCUGUGGCUUCAAGUUACACAUACCAAGAAGCAAAUGAGAUAGAAGAACCUCCUCGUAUCUUCAUUCACAAUACGGACAACAUCAGUAUUAGAUCAGUUUCUGCCAGCAAUUCUGCUAGUAGAAGCUAAGCUUGCCAACAAAGGUAUCAAUACAGUUGGAGGCGGAAAGAAAUGAUCCGCAACAUGUGCUGUUCAUUCAUGUACAACAGAAUGGUGAUCUAGUGAAGGGUUUACUUGGGAAUUGAUUCACUCACUAGCUUCAGUCGAGUCACUCCCUAGAUCUAGCUCAAGAAACCAGGCUGCGGUAUUAUGAAGGAAAUGGUGCUUCUGAUAUGACAGUGAGCUUUUUCUAAGAAACGCAUGUUGAUUUUUAGUGAAGGCCAAGCAGCAAAAGGUCUUUGUAAGUUAUUUUUAUAGAAGUACCUUUCAGACAUUGAAAUUGAAUUAGAUUAUAUAGGG